UAGGACUCUCGGCAAUGGAUAUCUUGGCUCUUGCAUCGAUGAAGAGCGCAGCGAAAUGCGAUACGUGGUGUGAAUUGCAUAAUCCCGUGAACCAUCGAGUUUUUGAACGCAAGUUGCGCCCGAGGCCAAUUGGCUAAGGGCACGUCCGCCUGGGCGUCAAGC
rnacentral:rRNA from 1 species